CAUGCNAGUCGAGGGGCAGCAUGUAACUUAGCUUGCUAAGUUUGAUGGCGACCGGCGCACGGGUGAGUAACACGUAUCCAACCUGCCGAUGACUCGGGGAUAGCCUUUCGAAAGAAAGAUUAAUACCCGAUGGCAUANUUCUUCCGCAUGGUAGAANUAUUAAAGAAUUUCGGUCAUCGAUGGGGAUGCGUUCCAUUAGGUUGUUGGCGGGGUAACGGCCCACCAAGCCUUCGAUGGAUAGGGGUUCUGAGAGGAAGGUCCCCCACAUUGGAACUGAGACACGGUCCAAACUCCUACGGGAGGCAGCAGUGAGGAAUAUUGGUCAAUGGACGAGAGUCUGAACCAGCCAAGUAGCGUGAAGGAUGACUGCCCUAUGGGUUGUAAACUUCUUUUAUACGGGAAUAAAGUGAGGCACGUGUGCCUUUUUGUAUGUACCGUAUGAAUAAGGAUCGGCUAACUCCGUGCCAGCAGCCGCGGUAAUACGGAGGAUCCGAGCGUUAUCCGGAUUUAUUGGGUUUAAAGGGAGCGUAGGCGGACGCUUAAGUCAGUUGUGAAAGUUUGCGGCUCAACCGUAAAAAUUGCAGUUGAUACUGGGUGUCUUGAGUACAGUAGAGGCAGGCGGAAUUCGUGGUGUAGCGGUGAAAUGCUUAGAUAUCACGAAGAACUCCGAUUGCGAAGGCAGCUUGCUGGACUGUAACUGACGCUGAUGCUCGAAAGUGUGGGUAUCAAACAGGAUUAGAUACCCUGGUAGUCCACACAGUAAACGAUGAAUACUCGCUGUUUGCGAUAUACAGUAAGCGGCCAAGCGAAAGCGUUAAGUAUUCCACCUGGGGAGUACGCCGGCAACGGUGAAACUCAAAGGAAUUGACGGGGGCCCGCACAAGCGGAGGAACAUGUGGUUUAAUUCGAUGAUACGCGAGGAACCUUACCCGGGCUUGAAUUGCAACUGAAUGAUGUGGAGACAUGUCAGCCGCAAGGCAGUUGUGAAGGUGCUGCAUGGUUGUCCUCAGCUCGUGCCGUGAGGUGUCGGCUUAAGUGCCAUAACGAGCGCAACCCUUAUCGAUAGUUACCAUCAGGUUAUGCUGGGGACUCUGUCGAGACUGCCGUCGUAAGAUGUGAGGAAGGUGGGGAUGACGUCAAAUCAGCACGGCCCUUACGUCCGGGGCUACACACGUGUUACAAUGGGGGGUACAGAAGGCAGCUACACGGCGACGUGAUGCUAAUCCCUAAAGCCUCUCUCAGUUCGGAUUGGAGUCUGCAACCCGACUCCAUGAAGCUGGAUUCGCUAGUAAUCGCGCAUCAGCCACGGCGCGGUGAAUACGUUCCCGGGCCUUGUACACACCGCCCGUCAAGCCAUGAAAGCCGGGGGUAACCUGAAGUGCGUAACCGCAAGAG
rnacentral:rRNA from 1 species